rnacentral:rRNA from 1 species
CCUACGGGGGGCAGCAGUGGGGAAUAUUGGACAAUGGGGGAAACCCUGAACCAGCGACGCCGCGUGAGUGAAGAAGUAUUUCGGUAUGUAAAGCUUCAUCAGUAGGAAAGAAAAUGACGGUACCUGACUAAGAAGCCCUGGCUAAAUACGUGCCAGCAGCCGCGGUAAUACGCAGGGUGCAAGCGUUAUCCGGAUUUACUGGGUGUAAAGGGAGCGUAGACGGGUGCGCAAGUCUGGAGUGAAACGCCGGGGCCCAACCCCGGAACUGCUGUGGAAACUGGCAGGCUGGAGUGGAGGAGAGGUAAGCGGAAUGCGUGGUGUAGCGGUGAAAUGCGUAGAUAUCAGGAAGAACACCGACGGCGAAGGCAGCUUACUGGACUGUAACUGACGUUGAGGCUCGAAGGCGUGGGGAGCAAACAGGAUUAGAUACCCGGGUAGUC